UUAUAACCGGCGAUACCCGAAUGGGGAAACCCAGUGUGAUUCGUCACACUAUCAUUAACUGAAUCCAUAGGUUAAUGAGGCGAACCGGGGGAACUGAAACAUCUAAGUACCCCGAGGAAAAGAAAUCAACCGAGAUUCCCCCAGUAGCGGCGAGCGAACGGGGAGGAGCCCAGAGCCUGAAUCAGCAUGUGUGUUAGUGGAAGCGUCUGGAAAGGCGCGCGAUACAGGGUGACAGCCCCGUACACAAAAGCGCAUGUGCUGUGAGCUCGAUGAGUAGGGCGGGACACGUGGUAUCCUGUCUGAAUAUGGGGGGACCAUCCUCCAAGGCUAAAUACUCCUGACUGACCGAUAGUGAACCAGUACCGUGAGGGAAAGGCGAAAAGAACCCCGGCGAGGGGAGUGAAAAAGAACCUGAAACCGUGUACGUACAAGCAGUGGGAGCACAGGUUUACCUGUGUGACUGCGUACCUUUUGUAUAAUGGGUCAGCGACUUAUAUUCUGUAGCAAGGUUAACCGAAUAGGGGAGCCGGAGGGAAACCGAGUCUUAAUUGGGCGUUAAGUUGCAGGGUAUAGACCCGAAACCCGGUGAUCUAGCCAUGGGCAGGUUGAAGGUUGGGUAACACUAACUGGAGGACCGAACCGACUAAUGUUGAAAAAUUAGCGGAUGACCUGUGGCUGGGGGUGAAAGGCCAAUCAAACCGGGAGAUAGCUGGUUCUCCCCGAAAGCUAUUUAGGUAGCGCCUCGUGAAUUCAUCUCCGGGGGUAGAGCACUGUUUCGGCUAGGGGGCCAUCCCGGCUUACCAACCCGAUGCAAACUGCGAAUACCGGAGAAUGUUAUCACGGGAGACACACGGCGGGUGCUAACGUCCGUCGUGAAGAGGGAAACAACCCAGACCGCCAGCUAAGGUCCCAAAGUCAUGGUUAAGUGGGAAACGAUGUGGGAAGGCCCAGACAGCCAGGAUGUUGGCUUAGAAGCAGCCAUCAUUUAAAGAAAGCGUAAUAGCUCACUGGUCGAGUCGGCCUGCGCGGAAGAUGUAACGGGGCUAAACCAUGCACCGAAGCUGCGGCAGCGACACUGUGUGUUGUUGGGUAGGGGAGCGUUCUGUAAGCCUGUGAAGGUGUGUCGUGAGGCAUGCUGGAGGUAUCAGAAGUGCGAAUGCUGACAUAAGUAACGAUAAAGCGGGUGAAAAGCCCGCUCGCCGGAAGACCAAGGGUUCCUGUCCAACGUUAAUCGGGGCAGGGUGAGUCGACCCCUAAGGCGAGGCCGAAAGGCGUAGUCGAUGGGAAACGGGUUAAUAUUCCCGUACUUGGUGUUACUGCGAAGGGGGGACGGAGAAGGCUAUGUUGGCCGGGCGACGGUUGUCCCGGUUUAAGCGUGUAGGUGUGUGUUCCAGGUAAAUCCGGUUCACUUUAACACUGAGGCGUGACGACGAGGCACUACGGUGCUGAAGCAACAAAUGCCCUGCUUCCAGGAAAAGCCUCUAAGCAUCAGGUAACAUCAAAUCGUACCCCAAACCGACACAGGUGGUCAGGUAGAGAAUACCAAGGCGCUUGAGAGAACUCGGGUGAAGGAACUAGGCAAAAUGGUGCCGUAACUUCGGGAGAAGGCACGCUGACACGUAGGUGAAGUGAUUUACUCAUGGAGCUGAAGUCAGUCGAAGAUACCAGCUGGCUGCAACUGUUUAUUAAAAACACAGCACUGUGCAAACACGAAAGUGGACGUAUACGGUGUGACGCCUGCCCGGUGCCGGAAGGUUAAUUGAUGGGGUCAGCGCAAGCGAAGCUCCUGAUCGAAGCCCCGGUAAACGGCGGCCGUAACUAUAACGGUCCUAAGGUAGCGAAAUUCCUUGUCGGGUAAGUUCCGACCUGCACGAAUGGCGUAAUGAUGGCCAGGCUGUCUCCACCCGAGACUCAGUGAAAUUGAACUCGCUGUGAAGAUGCAGUGUACCCGCGGCAAGACGGAAAGACCCCGUGAACCUUUACUAUAGCUUGACACUGAACAUUGAGCCUUGAUGUGUAGGAUAGGUGGGAGGCUUUGAAGUGUGGACGCCAGUCUGCAUGGAGCCGACCUUGAAAUACCACCCUUUAAUGUUUGAUGUUCUAACGUGGACCCGUUACCCGGGUUGCGGACAGUGUCUGGUGGGUAGUUUGACUGGGGCGGUCUCCUCCUAAAGAGUAACGGAGGAGCACGAAGGUUGGCUAAUCCUGGUCGGACAUCAGGAGGUUAGUGCAAUGGCAUAAGCCAGCUUGACUGCGAGCGUGACGGCGCGAGCAGGUGCGAAAGCAGGUCAUAGUGAUCCGGUGGUUCUGAAUGGAAGGGCCAUCGCUCAACGGAUAAAAGGUACUCCGGGGAUAACAGGCUGAUACCGCCCAAGAGUUCAUAUCGACGGCGGUGUUUGGCACCUCGAUGUCGGCUCAUCACAUCCUGGGGCUGAAGUAGGUCCCAAGGGUAUGGCUGUUCGCCAUUUAAAGUGGUACGCGAGCUGGGUUUAGAACGUCGUGAGACAGUUCGGUCCCUAUCUGCCGUGGGCGCUGGAGAACUGAGGGGGGCUGCUCCUAGUACGAGAGGACCGGAGUGGACGCAUCACUGGUGUUCGGGUUGUCAUGCCAAUGGCACUGCCCGGUAGCUAAAUGCGGAAGAGAUAAGUGCUGAAAGCAUCUAAGCACGAAACUUGCCCCGAG
rnacentral:rRNA from 1 species